UCGCGAUCUCUGGGCCCGCGCUCGCUUCUUAGAGGACCCCCGGGUCCUAGCGCGUCGUUUCCCCGUACUGCUAUUUCCAAGUAAAGAAAACAGAAGACGCCAAAAGGGUACACUUCCCAUCGUACUGUUGCCAACCCAUCAUUAUGGAAAUCCCAGACAGGACUGACUGAUAUUCAAAAGGGGAGGUACACCCUGGGAAACAAUCACUAGAGUACAGAGAUGGAAGCUUCCAGAAGAUCUACAUGCUUCUGCAGGUGACAGAUGGCUGUGGGAGGGAUCCCACAUUGAAGCAUGACAAGUGUGACAUACAUGACUGCACAGAUGCUUCAGAUUCCUCCCAAAGUCUGCAAGAAAACCGAUAUGAAUUCCAGAUCCUCUAAGGGGAGACUUUCCAUCAUCAGGAAGAGUGAGUGGAGGAAUCCGAACAUGAAGUCAGGUUUAGGAAAGGGCACUGCGCUGGAAUGUUGCAUCUACC
rnacentral:lncRNA from 1 species